UACAGAGAGUGCAAACGUUGUUCGGAAUUACUGGGCGUAAAGGGCUCGUAGGCGGCCAACUAAGUCAUACGUGAAAUCCCUCGGCUUAACCGGGGAACUGCGUCUGAUACUGGAUGGCUUGAGUUCGGGAGAGGGAUGCGGAAUUCCAGGUGUAGCGGUGAAAUGCGUAGAUAUCUGGAGGAACACCGGUGGCGAAGGCGGCAUCCUGGACCGAUACUGACGCUGAGGAGCGAAAGCCAGGGGAGCAAACGGG
rnacentral:rRNA from 1 species